GACGAACCGUGCGAACGUUGUUCGGAAUCACUGGGCUUAAAGGGCGCGUAGGCGGGUGCUCAAGUCCGGGGUGAAAUCCUCCAGCUCAACUGGAGAACUGCCUCGGAUACUGGGUGCCUCGAGGGUGGUAGGGGUAUGCGGAACUAUCGGUGGAGCGGUGAAAUGCGUUGAUAUCGAUAGGAACUCCGGUGGCGAAGGCGGCAUACUGGACCACAUCUGACGCUGAGGCGCGAAAGCCAGGGGAGCAAACGGGG
rnacentral:rRNA from 1 species